CUGGGAUGUGGUCCCUACCCUCAGGGAUCUCCCAGGGCAACAGACAGAGGCAGUAAUUACAAUUCAAAGAAGAAGGUGGCUUGACAAAAGGAAACAUAGGCCUUAGCAUUUUCUCCUACCGUCCUGAAGGAGGAGAAACCUGGAAGAACGCCACCUAGUGGCCCAAACCUUCAAGAUCGUGGCUCCUUCUCCACCUGCUACCCCGCCCCCACUUCAUAGGCCACCUUGCCUAUUAGAAAACUGGACCCAUACCCCUCACCAUGCAGCAAGAUAAUCUCAAAUGGAUCAGAAAUCCAAACGUAAAAAAAUGAAAACAAACAAGUAUCAGAAGACACAUCGGUGGACUUCUUUAUACCCUGGGUGUGGGAAGUCUGUGAUUCAAAUCCCAGAUGCAAACCAAAGGGCCUCUGGGUGCUUGCUCCUCCAGCUGAGAGAGGAGUUGGGGAGGAAAGGCGAUGUGUGGGCAAUCUUCUCCUCCGUGUGGCAUCUGCCCCACCCCAUUAGAGCUAAGUGACUGUCCCCAGCCUGGGCUCCUGGGAUCAAGGGGAGGGAAACAGAUUAAAAAAAACAAUUAAACUG